rnacentral:rRNA from 1 species
AGGUCAGUAGGUUGGUCGUGCCACCGGUACGUACUGGUCUCACUGAUUCCUCCUUCCUGAAGAACCGUAAUGCCAUUAAUUUGGUGUUGCGGGGAAACAGGACUGUUACUUUGAAAAAAUUAGAGUGUUUAAAGCAAGCUAACGCUUAAAUACAUUAGCAUGGAAUAAUGAAAUAGGACGAUCGAUCCUAUUUUGUUGGUUUCUAGGAUUGACGUA